AACGAACGCUGGCGGCAUGCCUAACACAUGCAAGUCGAACGAGAUCUUCGGGUCUAGUGGCGCACGGGUGCGUAACGCGUGGGAAUCUGCCCUUUGGUUCGGAAUAACAGUUGGAAACGACUGCUAAUACCGGAUGAUGACGAAAGGCCAAAGAUUUAUCGCCAGAGGAUGAGCCCGCGUAGGAUUAGCUAGUUGGUGUGGUGAAGGCGCACCAAGGCGACGAUCCUUAGCUGGUCUGAGAGGAUGAUCAGCCACACUGGGACUGAGACACGGCCCAGACUCCUACGGGAGGCAGCAGUGGGGAAUAUUGAACAGUGGGCGAAAGCCUGAUCCAGCAAUGCCGCGUGAGUGAUGAAGGCCUUAGGGUUGUAAAGCUCUUUUACCCGGGAUGAUAAUGACAGUACCGGGAGAAUAAGCUCCGGCUAACUCCGUGCCAGCCGCCGCCGUAA
rnacentral:rRNA from 1 species